AUGAGACACCAAGACAUAAUAGAUCAGCUAGACAGAACGUGAAGCAACGCGACAAAACACGAUGAAACAUCUCACUCUGGCUUUGCUUUGCUUUUUGAUGGUGAUAGCUACUGCGUUCUUCCUUGAUACAAAUGGGGUUUCACCUUUCAUUGAACCCGAUUAUCACUAUGUCUUAAGGUGCAGGUAUAAAAACCAGCAAUGCGGUGUUUUCUUGUUCACGUAUAGAGGAGAGUGCUGUAAAGGCUUCGUUUGCAG